GUGAACGCUGGCGGUAGGCCUCACCCCUGCCAGUCGAACGGCAGCACAGUAAGAGCUUGCUCUUACGGGUGGCGAGUGGCGGACGGGUGAGGAAUACAUCGGAAUCUACUUUUUCGUGGGGGAUAACGUAGGGAAACUUACGCUAAUACCGCAUACGACCUACGGGUGAAAGCAGGGGAUCUUCGGACCUUGCGCGAUUGAAUGAGCCGAUGUCGGAUUAGCUAGUUGGCGGGGUAAAGGCCCACCAAGGCGACGAUCCGUAGCUGGUCUGAGAGGAUGAUCAGCCACACUGGAACUGAGACACGGUCCAGACUCCUACGGGAGGCAGCAGUGGGGAAUAUUGGACAAUGGGCGCAAGCCUGAUCCAGCCAUACCGCGUGGGUGAAGAAGGCCUUCGGGUUGUAAAGCCCUUUUGUUGGGAAAGAAAAGCAGCAGGUUAAUACCCCGCUGUUCUGACGGUACCCAAAGAAUAAGCACCGGCUAACUUCGUG
rnacentral:rRNA from 1 species